rnacentral:rRNA from 1 species
UACAUGGGGUGCAAACGUUGCUCGGAAUUAUUGGGCGUAAAGCGCACGUAGGCGGUUUGUUAAGUCUGAUGUGAAAGCCCACGGCUCAACCGUGGAGGGUCAUUGGAAACUGGGGGACUUGAGUGCAGAAGAGGAAAGCGGAAUUCCACGUGUAGCGGUGAAAUUCGUAGAUAUUGGGAAGAACACCGGUGGCGAAGGCGGCGACCUGGUCCGUGACUGACGCUGAGGCGCGAAAGCGUGGGGAGCAAACAGG